ACUUUCAGCAAUGGAUGUCUUGGCUCCCAUAUCGAUGAAGAACGCAGCGAAAUGCGAUACGUCAUGCGAAUUGCACAACCAGCGAGUCAUCAAAACUUUGAACGCAACUUGCACUUCCCUUGGGGAGUAUGUCUGCUGGAGUGUC
rnacentral:rRNA from 1 species